GACGAACGCUGGCGGCGUGCUUAACACAUGCAAGUCGAACGGAAAGGCCCUGCUUUUGUGGGGUGCUCGAGUGGCGAACGGGUGAGUAACACGUGUGUAACCUGCCCUUGACUUUGGGAUAACUUCAGGAAACUGGGGCUAAUACCGGAUAGGAGCUCCUGCUGCAUGGUGGGGGUUGGAAAGUUUCGGCGGUUGGGGAUGGACUCGCGGCUUAUCAGCUUGUUUGUGGGGUAGUGGCUUACCAAGUUUUUGACGGGUAGCCGGCAUGAGAGGGUGACCGGCCACAUUGGGACUGAGGUACGGACCAGACGCGUACGGGAGGCAGCGGUGGAGAAUAUUGCACAAUGGGCGGAAGCCUGUUGCAACAGCGCCGCGUGCGGGAUGACGGCCUUCGAGGUGUAAACCGCUUUCGACUGUGACGAAGCGUGAGUGACGGUAAUGGGUAAAGAAGCACCGGCUAACUACGUG
rnacentral:rRNA from 1 species